rnacentral:rRNA from 1 species
CACGUAGUUAGCCGGGGCUUUCUCGUGAGGUACCGUCACCGCGCCGCCCUCUUCGAACGGCGCUCCUUCGUCCCUCACAACAGAGCUUUACGACCCGAAGGCCUUCUUCGCUCACGCGGCGUCGCUCCGUCAGGCUUUCGCCCAUUGCGGAAGAUUCCCUACUGCUGCCUCCCGUAGGAGUCUGGGCCGUGUCUCAGCCCCAGUGUGGCCGGUCACCCUCUCAGGCCGGCUACGCAUCGUCGCCUUGGUGAGCCGUUACCUCACCAACUAGCUAAUGCGCCGCGGGCCCAUCCGCAAGUGACAGCCCAAAGGCCGCCUUUCAACCGAAGACCAUGCGGUCUUCGGUGUUAUCCGGUAUUAGCUCCGGUUUCCCGGAGUUAUCCCGGUCUUGCGGGCAGGUUGCCCACGUGUUACUCACCCGUCCGCCGCUGACCGAAUCAAGGCAAGCCCCAAUCCGGUCCGCUCGACUUGCAUGUAUUAGGCACGCCGCCAGCGUUCGUCC